AUUGAACGCUGGCGGCAGGCCUAACACAUGCAAGUCGAGCGGAUGAAGGGAGCUUGCUCCUGGAUUCAGCGGCGGACGGGUGAGUAAUGCCUAGGAAUCUGCCUGGUAGUGGGGGAUAACGUCCGGAAACGGGCGCUAAUACCGCCUACGUCCUGAGGGAGAAAGAGGGGGAUCUUCGGACCUCACGCUAUCAGAUGAGCCUAGGUCGGAUUAGCUAGUUGGUGGGGUAAAGGCCUACCAAGGCGACGAUCCGUAACUGGUCUGAGAGGAUGAUCAGUCACACUGGAACUGAGACACGGUCCAGACUCCUACGGGAGGCAGCAGUGGGGAAUAUUGGACCAUGGGCGAAAGCCUGAUCCAGCCAUGCAGCGUGUGUGAAGAAGGUCUUCGGAGUGUAAAGCACUUUAAGUUGGGAGGAAGGGCAGUAAGUUAAUACCUUGCUGUUUUGACGUUACCAACAGAAUAAGCACCGGCUAACUUCGUG
rnacentral:rRNA from 1 species